AUUGAGAGCGCCGACUCUAUACAGUAUUAAAGAGUCCACGUUGCUCGAAAGUGCUUAAUAUACUACAGCCAGCGCGUUGCCUAGGUAACGCUCAGCCGUUGGACGAUACUGUGUAAUUAACAAAGUUGAAAAACUAAGGUCACGAUGAAGGUGACUCUGCUGUUUCUAUCCGUUGCGUUCGCAGGAGUCCUGUGCAAGUGCCCGUACCAGACGUCGGAAAACGGCCACCGCGCAAUCCCGCCCUCGGCAAACUGCAUCGUAAACCGGAUGCUGGCGCCGGUAUGUGGGGACGACGGAUGCUGGUACACCAACAAGGACUUCAUGGAAUGCGUCAACAUGGAGCUCAGGGACGCUGGAAAGCCUGAAGUGAAAGAAACGGACAGAGCCAGAUGCGAUACAACCUCCGACCAAGUGAAUCCAACACCUGCGCCACCGGUACCAGUGACCCUGAAUGGAAACAACAAUCUAAACAACAAUCUAAACAACAAUCAAAACAACAAUCAAAACAGCAGUAGCAACAGCACCAACAACGGCAGAAUCGAGCUUCUUAAUACUGGCAAAAAAUAAAUAAAUCCACGUAAAUAAAAAAUAAAAAAAACCUUCGAAACAAAAUUUUUCUGGUAUUUCUAACUUUCGCACCAACAAAAGCGAAACCGUUCCAUCCAUCAAGUAUGUCAUGAAAUAAAACUGGUUCAUAUGUUAUAUAUUUUUUGCGGUCCUCAGCUUUUUAAGUUUUAUGUGGUACUGAUUACCCGUCUUACAAGAAAUUAGAGACUGCUUAAUUUGUAGCCCAGUUUUCUUGAGCUUACUCCAAAAAGUUUGUGUGUUCCUGAUUUUAUUCGUAUCCUUAGACAAGAUAGCACAAUUAGGUGUUAUUUUCUACACGGAAAUAUGCGAUUACUUAGGUUAUUCCGGCCAGUAACUGGACAUUAAUUCUCGUCAACGAAAAUCAAGAUUACUGUUCGUCUUAUUUCACCAUUUUUGAAAUUACAAACCCCAAACCAAAAAUUCUUUAUCAGAAGACGUCAAAAAUGUGUUACUAAAUAAAGAUUAUGACCAAAUUGAAGGCAUUUUCAUAAAAAAGAAAGUUGUGAUGUAUUGCUGUUGCUGAAUUUAUUUAUAUUUUUAUGUAAAAAUAAUCUCUGGCAGUAUUAUCGAAAUCUGCAUUUGAUAGUUAUUGUAUUAUAUGUUGACGAUAUGCUUUAUGCUUAUUAUCGUUCUUUAAGAACGGACCUUUCAAAGAUCACCCAUAAUUUACUUAUAAAACGAAUCGGAAACAAAUAUAAUGUAUCAAAAAUAAAUAGUAAACAAUGUGGAUGGUAAAAGGAAAUUUGUCAGCCUACGAACAUCGAAAAAAAUAAAAUUGGAAGUGAAAGAAAAGGAAA